rnacentral:rRNA from 1 species
UACGUAGGUGACAAGCGUUGUCCGGAUUUACUGGGCGUAAAGAGCGCGCAGGCGGUCGUUCAAGUCGAGUGUGAAAGCCCCCCGGCUCAACUGGGGAGGGUCACUCGAUACUGAUCGACUCGAAGGCAGGAGAGGGAAGUGGAAUUCCCGGUGUAGUGGUGAAAUGCGUAGAUAUCGGGAGGAACACCAGUGGCGGAAGGCGAGUCCCUGGACAACUUCUGACGCUGAGGCACGAAAGCUAGGGGAGCAAACAGG